CCCAUUCCCCACACCCCCAUUCUGCAACAUGGUACAGCCUGUCAUGAGUUCUCUGUGGCUCUUGCCCACUCCGAUCACGUCAGAUCACUCUCUGUAACCACGCGUUUGUUUGCUAAAACUCAACCUAAUUUUCACACACAGUUUCUGGAGGCAUCAGUGUGCUCCCUGCACAAGGGACCAAAUAAAAUGGAAAUCUCGUUUUCCUCAGCUGUGACUCAGAAGGUCUCUAACCCUAGUCAGGCAGAUGGCUCCUCUGAGGUCCCCGAGGACCUGGAAAUCCAGACUCUGACUAUGAAGAAGGAUGUUCAGUAUUCCAAGAUGCUAGGACUUCUAGUGAGACGCCUCUUGAAACAGGUUCUACUACGGGGGCAUGACAGACAUCAGAGUGGAGCUUUAUGAACACAGCCCAGAGCCUCCCACCCAGGGUGCCUGCACACCCCUGCUUUAACUCACAUCAUGACCUCGGCCUCUUCAAUAAAGUCCUCUUCUGACAUC